GGAGAGAUGACAGAGUGGUUGAAUGUACCGCACUCGAAAUGCGGAGUACCAUAAUGGUAUCGGGGGUUCGAAUCCCCCUCUCUCCUCCA
rnacentral:tRNA from 1 species